rnacentral:rRNA from 1 species
GUAAGGAAUAUUGCUCAAUGGGAGAAAUCCUGAAGCAGCAACGCCGCGUGGAGGAUGAAGGGUCUAUGACUUGUAAACUCCUGUAAAGAAGGAAAAAAUUCCCACUUGAUGGGAGAUGAUGGUACUUCUGGAGUAAGCCCCGGCUAACUACGUGCCAGCAGCCGCGGUAAUACGUAGGGGGCAAGCGUUGUCCGGAUUUACUGGGUGUAAAGGGUGCUCAGGCGGAUUUGUAAGUCAGAGGUGAAAUCUUACAGCUUAACUGUGAAACUGCCUUUGAUACUGCAAGCCUAGAGUAUGGAAGAGAGUGAUGGAAUAUCUGGUGUAGCAGUGAAAUGCGUAGAUAUCAGAUAGAACACCAAUGGCGAAGGCAGUCACUUGGUCCAUUACUGACGCUAAAGCACGAAAGCGUGGGUAGCAAACA